CGCUGGCGGCGUGCCUAAUACAUGCAAGUCGAACGGCUUUUCUAUGGAAGCUUGCUUCCACUGAGAAGAUAGUGGCGAACGGGUGAGUAACACGUGGGUAACCUGCCCAUAAGAGGGGGAUAACAUCCGGAAACGGGUGCUAAUACCGCAUAGUUUUCUUGAUCGCAUGAUUGAGAAAGGAAAGACGGCCUUUGUGCUGUCGCUUAUGGAUGGGCCCGCGGCGUAUUAGUUAGUUGGUGAGGUAAUGGCUCACCAAGACGAUGAUACGUAGCCGACCUGAGAGGGUGAUCGGCCACAUUGGGACUGAGACACGGCCCAAACUCCUACGGGAGGCAGCAGUAGGGAAUCUUCCGCAAUGGACGAAAGUCUGACGGAGCAACGCCGCGUGAGUGAAGAAAAGGUUUUCGGAUCGUAAAACUCUGUUGUCAGAGAAGAACAAGUUGGAGAGUAACUGCUCCAGCCUUGACGGUAUCUGACCAGAAAGCCACGGCUAACUACGUGCCAGCCGCUGC
rnacentral:rRNA from 1 species